rnacentral:rRNA from 1 species
AGCGCAACCCUUAUCUUUAGUAGCCAGCAUUUAAGAUGGGCACUCUAGAGAGACUGCCCGGGUGAACCGGGAGGAAGGUGGGGAUGACGUCAAAUCAUCAUGCCCCUUAUGAUUUGGGCUACACACGUGCUACAAUGGCGUAAACAAAGGGAAGCAAUUGGGUGACCAUGAGCAAAUCUCAAAAAUAACGUCUCAGUUCGGAUUGUAGUCUGCAACUCGACUAUAUGAAGCUGGAAUCGCUAGUAAUCGCGAAUCAGAAUGUCGCGGUGAAUACGUUCCCGGGUCUUGUACACACCG